AUAACGACCCUGACUAACCUGUUAAUGGAUGGUCCAAUGUGAUUUUCCCCUUCUUCACGAAGGCCAGAGCUGAAGCUGCCUGCCACACAACAAAGCUUUUCCAAGCUCCCAGGUUCCCGGAAUUCAAGACUAAAUGAGGCUUCUUGCAAAGACUCUGCGUGAAAGAAGCAAAUUAGGAAUUUGAAGGGAUGAUGAUGCGGUUGAAGUAUACUCUCGUUUCCCGGUGUCCCUCUUGAGGUUGUUGAGAAACAGCAGCGGUAGCCAACAGAGUUACCUGAAAAGAUGGAGAACUCAGUAUCUUGACUGUCCAACACUGUAGCCACUGUAGAUUUGGCCAUGGACUGCUGAACGUCUAGCCACUGUGACUGAAGAAGUGAAGUUUUAAUUUUAUUGAAGUUUUUAUAAAUUUAAAGACCCCAUAAUCGUUGUCAAGAAGAAAAAAUUCAAAAGGCAUUAAUUUACAUAACGGAGGAUGGCAGGAUCUUCCUCUAUGACAACUGUUUGUUUGUUUGUUUUACUGAAGAGAAAAAGAUGUUACGCCAGUAUGUUUAGCGAGAAUGCUCCAGAAUGGAGUGAAACACAACCAGGAAUUUAGUGUCUCCAUCAUAAAAGGUCUUUGGAAGACCCGUUUCAGGUCUCGGAUGACGUGCAGUGUGCCAUGAAAGGAGUGUUCGGGAAUCUGGAGAAGUGGAGGCUCCUUGGCCCGUGAAUACCUGCCCACGUGAUUUCCUGCCUGCCUUUCUCUUCCCAGGAAAGCAACACAUUUGGCUUCUACAACAUUAUGAUGCAAAUAAUCCUAUUUUAUAGCUUUUUGUUUAAGUGCACGGGCAGGCUUUGACAAGUGGCUGUGAAAGGGAGAGGUUCCUUGUGUUCUGGGGACUAUGCAGUCUUACUGGUAACGCUCUCUCUGCCCCCUCCCCCAUCUACCUGGGUACCCUCCUUCGCGGACCCUCCUCAUUGUUUUUUUUUUUCCUUCUGCGUGGGAUGAGGCACACCGAGAAAGCAGUUGUUGACUUUUGUCUCCUUGGCAUUUUUCUUGAACCAAUUAAAUGAAUGAUGUAGCAAGUGCAAUUGCCAGAGAGUUUAAACCCAGUAAUGGCCCCAGUGGGUUACACAAGGCUGAUCUUUGACCCUAUAAAAAAGGCCACCAUAAAAAUCUGCCAGGCAAUCCGGAAGCUGCCGAAAUUCAUUGCUCAAUGAGUCAUCUGCUGUUGUCAACCGGCAUGAGUUAAAGACAUGCGGAAACAGGUUAUUUUUGUGGUAACUAAAGUUCAGCAGAUGAACAAAAAGUUGCCAUUCCGUUCUGAAGAGGAACAAUUAUGCCGUUUCAAAGCCAACAACCCGUGCAUCCUCUGGGAAUGUCUAUCAUUCAAAUGUCUUUCCAGUCCUUCCAAGAACACAAGGAUGGACAGCCUUUGCCAUUUCUGUGCAGCUAGAAAUAGAGGGUGUAGGAAGAGACUCCCGGGAAAGACUUGUUUCAAAUUUUCUUUCCUUUUUCUGGGCAUUCAUUUCUUCAUUUGUAAAACAAAGCGGGUUUUUUUUGUUUGUUUGUUUUUUGUUAUUUUAUGAUCCUUCAAGGUCAGAUCACUUGUGUUCUCUAUGUUUGUGACCUGUGAACCUAGAGGCCCCAAUGUAGUAAAAUCUCACUCAGUGUUUUGCUAAGGACUGGAUGAAAGGUCAGCUGUUUGUAAUCUACUUUAAUCAACAAGUACAAUAAAAAAUACAAUAGCACUAAGCCACCUAACAAUGAGAUGCUUGAAGCAGGCUUUUUGAUAUAUCUUUCUUUUCAUACUCAUAUAAGCUCUUUAAAACCAGCAAUUUGGUGACCUUCUAUUAGAUCAUUGCUAACAUUUUCAAUGCCUUACAUAGGGAAAAGUAUUGACUUAUUAUUAUUAUUAUUAUUUGGAAAUAAACCUUACAUAAAAACUUUCCAUAACCUCGUAAUACAAAGUCUACAGACAUAAAAGUAGUCUAACAAAAUUCCCUUUCUUUUCAAAAUGUCACUGUUAUUAUACGAAUAGAGAAUUUUCUGGGUGGAGGAAUGACCAUCUAUAAUUAAGGAACAUCAUCACAAUCAGCAGCAGCAGCAUCAACCUCCUCACCAUCACCAACAGCAAAACAAAACAAAAAGAGUCGUCUGAACCUUUCUGAUUCUGGAAACCUCUUUACGUUUUCUUUAAAGGCGUUGGAAAUUCUGAGGCAUCACUAAAUCUAUCCUAUAGUAGUGUGAGAGUUAUUUGUAACCUAGCUCCUGGCAAAUGGGUAAGAAAUAAUUCCUUUAUGUUAAAAAUGUGGUUUAUUUGAUAGGUUUUGUGAGUUUGCAGAGUUAUGAAGAAGUUUCAGGAUUAAGACAAUGAGGCCAGCAUUCCAGUGAUAAUAGACAGCUUUCUCAUAGCUCUAAAUUGUCCAUAAGCCAAGAUCCCUUGAGAUGGCAAAACAGCCAAAUAGUAGCACAGUGGCUGAGCAAAUGUUUAGUGAUUCGGUCCCUGGAAAAGUUAGUUGCAUGCUGAGAGUUUUAUCAGGUUAACUAAUAAAGGGUUUGGAUCCAGGCCCUGCAAUGAAAGGUGGAGAGCCAGGGUUUAAAUAGCAACUUGACAUGGAAACCACACACAGAUCUGUCAGAGAAGCCAUUCUUGUGCAAUGCCUAUGGUUGUAGCUCGGCAUAAGCAAGGCCUGCUCAUGGAAGGACAGCACUAUGUCAACCGGCACGUCCUUUUAUUUUUACUUUUUUUACUUUGAAAAAUUGUAUUGUAUAUGGACAAUUAUAGACUAUAGGUGGCCAUUCUAGAUCAUUCCUUUCGAUGUUAAAUAAAAUUAUGAAUUCCAUAAGUACCUCUUUUUGUGCCUGCCAGAACCUAAGUCUUUCUAAAUCGAGAGUUUUUUACGGAACCUAGUUCUCAUAUAAGCUAUGCUUCCUAAAUACUUAGAACCUCCCCCCACCCCCAGUAUCUAGCUGCUAUUUGUUCUGUUGCAGUAGAAAAUCCUCUUUCCAUUUUCUUCUCUAUUAAUAUAAGCCCUGUAAAUAUGCAUGAUAAAGUAUGGUGUUUUGACACAUCUAUAUAUAUGGGGGAAUUUGAACUCAGGUUAUUAAUAUAUCUAUCACCUUUAAUGUGUAUCAUUUAUCUAUGGUAAAUACAUCUAAAUCCUAUCUCUCAGUUAUUUUAAGAUAAGUAAUGUAUUAUUUUAAAAUUAUCCUUUCCUGCUAUGUAUUCGUGUAUUCUCUCAUUAAAAUCUAUAAUACCAC
rnacentral:lncRNA from 1 species